UACGAGGGGGGCGAGCGUUGUUCGGAAUUAUUGGGCGUAAAGGGUGCGUAGGCGGUUUGGUAAGUCUUAUGUGAAAUCUACAGGCUCAACUUGUAGUCUGCAUGAGAAACUGCCGGGCUUGAGUAUGGGAGAGGUGAGUGGAAUUCCUGGUGUAGCGGUGAAAUGCGUAGAUAUCUGGAAGAACACCAAUGGCGAAGGCAAUGUUCUGGCUCGUUUCUGACGCUCAGGUGCGAAAGCCAGGGGAGCGAACGGG
rnacentral:rRNA from 1 species